AAAUUGAAGAGUUUGAUCAUGGCUCAGAUUGAACGCUGGCGGCAGGCCUAACACAUGCAAGUCGAGCGGUAACACAGAGAGCUUGCUCUCGGGUGACGAGCGGCGGACGGGUGAGUAAUGUCUGGGAAACUGCCUGAUGGAGGGGGAUAACUACUGGAAACGGUAGCUAAUACCGCAUAACGUCGCAAGACCAAAGUGGGGGACCUUCGGGCCUCAUGCCAUCAGAUGUGCCCAGAUGGGAUUAGCUAGUAGGUGGGGUAACGGCUCACCUAGGCGACGAUCCCUAGCUGGUCUGAGAGGAUGACCAGCCACACUGGAACUGAGACACGGUCCAGACUCCUACGGGAGGCAGCAGUGGGGAAUAUUGCACAAUGGGCGCAAGCCUGAUGCAGCCAUGCCGCGUGUGUGAAGAAGGCCUUCGGGUUGUAAAGCACUUUCAGCGGGGAGGAAGGCGUUAAGGUUAAUAACCUUGGCGAUUGACGUUACCCGCAGAAGAAGCACCGGCUAACUCCGUGCCAGCAGCCGCGGUAAUACGGAGGGUGCAAGCGUUAAUCGGAAUUACUGGGCGUAAAGCGCACGCAGGCGGUCUGUCAAGUCGGAUGUGAAAUCCCCGGGCUCAACCUGGGAACUGCAUUCGAAACUGGCAGGCUAGAGUCUUGUAGAGGGGGGUAGAAUUCCAGGUGUAGCGGUGAAAUGCGUAGAGAUCUGGAGGAAUACCGGUGGCGAAGGCGGCCCCCUGGACAAAGACUGACGCUCAGGUGCGAAAGCGUGGGGAGCAAACAGGAUUAGAUACCCUGGUAGUCCACGCCGUAAACGAUGUCGAUUUGGAGGUUGUGCCCUUGAGGCGUGGCUUCCGGAGCUAACGCGUUAAAUCGACCGCCUGGGGAGUACGGCCGCAAGGUUAAAACUCAAAUGAAUUGACGGGGGCCCGCACAAGCGGUGGAGCAUGUGGUUUAAUUCGAUGCAACGCGAAGAACCUUACCUGGUCUUGACAUCCACAGAACUUAGCAGAGAUGCUUUGGUGCCUUCGGGAACUGUGAGACAGGUGCUGCAUGGCUGUCGUCAGCUCGUGUUGUGAAAUGUUGGGUUAAGUCCCGCAACGAGCGCAACCCUUAUCCUUUGUUGCCAGCGGUUAGGCCGGGAACUCAAAGGAGACUGCCAGUGAUAAACUGGAGGAAGGUGGGGAUGACGUCAAGUCAUCAUGGCCCUUACGACCAGGGCUACACACGUGCUACAAUGGCAUAUACAAAGAGAAGCGACCUCGCGAGAGCAAGCGGACCUCAUAAAGUAUGUCGUAGUCCGGAUUGGAGUCUGCAACUCGACUCCAUGAAGUCGGAAUCGCUAGUAAUCGUAGAUCAGAAUGCUACGGUGAAUACGUUCCCGGGCCUUGUACACACCGCCCGUCACACCAUGGGAGUGGGUUGCAAAAGAAGUAGGUAGCUUAACCUUCGGGAGGGCGCUUACCACUUUGUGAUUCAUGACUGGGGUGAAGUCGUAACAAGGUAACCGUAGGGGAACCUGCGGUUGGAUCACCUCCUUACCUUAAAGAA
rnacentral:rRNA from 1 species